rnacentral:lncRNA from 1 species
GAGUUGCGAGUGUAGCAACAGACAGAAAACCGCUCUUGAAAUCUGGAGUACUGAGCUGGGGGAAGCUACUAGCUGAUUCUAUGCCUUAGGGAGAAGCUAGUAAGAAGUCUUUGGAGGAUUUUAUGGUGCAACUGAAGAUGCAAUACUGCUCUGAGCAGGAUCUUAAGGAGAUCAACAAUGGGUUCCAAAAUUUGAAGAAGGGAAGAAUGAGCGUUAUAGAAUACACUGCAAGCUUUACAGAAAAGAUGAAGCCGGUCCCUUACCUAGUCCCGACCGAACUCUCCAAGAUUAACAAGUUUGCCCAUGGAUUACCAGCAGACUUUUGUCGAAUGGUCAAGCAAGCAACAACUUUGAAAGCCGCCAUCUGGGCAGCCCGGAAUGUUGAGACCCAGAUUAAGGAAAGGGGUCUGGAGAGAGCUGAAUUUGGCGAGAAAAGAAAGCAUGAAGGAUCUUCAAAAUCAAAAAAAGAAAGGAAAUUCUCAAAGACUGAUGAAGGAGAAGGAGGUGAAUCCAAGUGGUGUGAGAAGUGUAAAAAGAAGCACUUCAGGAAAUGUAGCGAGGAGGUGACUUGCUACAAAUGUGGAAAUACAGGGCAUUACACUGAGAGAUUAAGGAGAUGGAAAUCACUAGUAAUAAUGAAUGUAAGUUCUGUUUAUGCUUAUGUUUUUGUAUUGACGAUGACAUCCCAAAUGUUUUAAAAUGAAUAAAAAUACUUUUCUUUGGAAAUGCUUUGAUAAUGAAAUUAUCAUAUUUUUCUGGGAACAAAUUCCGCAACGUUUUUAUUAAAAGAGAUACUCUGAUUUUUAUAAAGCAUAAACAAAAUCGGUCUUUUCUGGCUGUGAAAAUGGGGAUGUCACAGUUGGUACCAGAGCAUUAGUUUAAGCGAACUAGGAAUAUGGAUUUAUUUCUNUGCUAAUCAAUGAUUGUGAGGAGUGUGUCUUAGGUAAUACACCUAAAUAGACAUAAGCACUUGCUUAUUUAGGGAAAACGCCUAACACGCUUUUAUGUGCUAAAUGAUUUAUGAUGCUAAAUGUAUGAUCGGAUCUAUGGUCUGUUGCCGACCGGAUCUGGAAAUUUUAUGUGUACAAAUUUCUAAACGUUUAAUUAUGUUAUUAGAACUGGCAUGUAACUUUCCGACGUAAUAAGAAGAUUUACCCGUCAAUCGUAAACAAAAUCUUUCCUAUCUUAAUUCUCGUCAUUUCGCACCGAACAUCUGAUCUGGUGUAUAGAUCAAAAUGGCUAGAACCCGAAGUGGAGUCGGGAACGCGAAUGGAGAUAGGAAUCAACAGCCCCUAGUGGCUGAACAAAUACCUGUUGUAGUAACCGCACCUGAGCCANCAUGGUUGGAGUGCAAGCGAUGAUCCAGACGAUAUUGGAUCGUCAAAUGGAGGAAACAAGGCGUCUACUUCAACAGAACCGAGAAGAACUUGCGGUACCAAUUGAACAGCCCGAGCUGAAUGAUGGGUAGUCAGAAGGAGAAAACUACAGUGGGACCAUUGGUCAAGCCAACCCACCGAUAGUUAGGCGAAACUACUAGGAUGGAGCAAACGACAGACGUGGAUGCAAAUACAAGGAUUUCAUGGCAUCCAGACCACUGAGUCUAUCCAGAAGCCCGACGCCGGUGGAAGUUAUGGACUGGAUCUCCGAGAUGGCGACAAUGUUUGAGAGUUGCNAAGAGUUGCGGUGUAGCAACAGACAGAAAACCGCUCUUGAAAUCUGGAGUACUGAGCUGGGGGAAGCUACUAGUUGAUUCUAUGCCUAAGGGAGAAGCUAAUAAGAAGUCUUUGGAGGAUUUUCUGGUGCAACUGAAGAUGCAAUACUUCUCUGAGCAGGAUCUUGUGGAGAUCAACAAUGGGUUCCAAAAUUUGAAGAUGGGAAGAAUGAGCGUUAUAGAAUAAACUGCAUGCUUUACGGAAAAGAUGAAGCCGGUUCCUUACCUAGUCCCAACCGAACUCUCCAAGGUUAACAAGUUUGCCCAUGGAUUACCAGCAGACUUUUG